rnacentral:rRNA from 1 species
GGGGAAUCUUCCGCAAUGGGCGAAAGCCUGACGGAGCAACGCCGCGUGAACGAUGAAGGUCUUAGGAUCGUAAAGUUCUGUUGUUAGGGACGAAGGGUAAGAAUCAUAAUAAGGUUUUUAUUUGACGGUACCUAACGAGGAAGCCACGGCUAACUACGUGCCAGCAGCCGCGGUAAUACGUAGGCGGCAAGCGUUGUCCGGAAUUAUUGGGCGUAAAGGGAGCGCAGGCGGGAAACUAAGCGGAUCUUAAAAGUGCGGGGCUCAACCCCGUGAUGGGGUCCGAACUGGUUUUCUUGAGUGCAGGAGAGGAAAGCGGAAUUCCCAGUGUAGCGGUGAAAUGCGUAGAUAUUGGGAAGAACACCAGUGGCGAAGGCGGCUUUCUGGACUGUAACUGACGCUGAGGCUCGAAAGCUAGGGUAGCGAACG